rnacentral:rRNA from 1 species
UACGAAGGGUGCAAGCGUUACUCGGAAUUACUGGGCGUAAAGCGUGCGUAGGCGGUUUGUUAAGUCCGCUGUGAAAGCCCUGGGCUCAACCUGGGAAUUGCAGUGGAUACUGGCAAGCUAGAGUGCGGUAGAGGAUGGUGGAAUUCCCGGUGUAGCGGUGAAAUGCGUAGAUAUCUGGAGGAACACCGGUGGCGAAGGCGGCAUCCUGGACCAAUUCUGACACUGAGGAGCGAAAGCCAGGGGAGCAAACGGG